ensembl:lncRNA
GUGUAGAAACAAUGAUACAGCAAAAAAAGAACAAAGAGGGUUUUUAUUAUUCAAUAAAGAAAAAAAAGUUUAUUUUAUUGUGAAAGUGCAUGAUAUUCUAGGCUGCCCAUGAAAGCUUUUUUUUCAGUGUACAUAUCAGCCUAUAGUUAAUAUAGCAAUAUCUACAGAAUAAAUAUUUAGACUUUUUCUCCUUACAAUACAACACACACACACACACACGAAGCGCUGAACUCGAGCUUUAAUAGAAAUCUAACGUACCGAGAGUGAGCUGUCCAAAGACCUCGUCUACAGUCCAAAUGAUUGCUUGUUCAGAUUGGAACACUAAAGCACACACUCAGACCUUGAAUAUUCAUUCUUAAGAAACUCUUUUGUAAUACGGGUACAUGGUUUGCCCAUUGAGUGAGUGAUGAUGUAAUGUAUGUAUAGCUGUGAUGAUGAUGAGACACAAAACACAGUCCCAUUUGAGCGUUUCAUUGAUGCAUCCUAAUUUAUAUACUGAUCCUCAAACGUACGACAGUGAAGAAUGUGAAAAGUUUACUGUGUCUAUAAGCAGUGUCAUCGACGAGCUGAACUCAGUAGUUUGCUUAGUAGUUUACGCUUCUGUUUAAAGCGCAAGACACAAACCCCAAUCCGUUUUAGUAGGUUGAACUACUAAAAUCUUUCACAACAUUAAAAGUUGUUCAUUGGUACCUCGUCAAAUGUUUGAGUGGCAGUUUAAUUUAUGUGUUUGUAAAUGUCUUUUAUUUGACUGUGUAAUUUGUCUGUGUAAUGUUUAUUGCUAGAAUGUAAAAUCAGACGAUCAGGGUUUUAAUCAUGUGAGAUGUGGAAGAAAGUCACAAUAGUGUUUGCACAGAUUCAGCAGCUUCAUUCAUGAUACAUGACUCUGUUUUGUACCGCAUUCAUAAAGAGUGCCAUUUAAAACACUACAGAAGAUUAGAAAAACACUUCUUGGUCAAAAAAUGGCUGUUUUAUUNGUCCUCAUUUAUCUAAUGUCUGUGUGUUUUGUAUCACUGUCUCAUAGAUGUUUUUCACUGCUUGUUUUCUUCCAGCAGGAUUAAAUCAUUCCUCCUGCCAACGAUUCCCAAACCGCGCAUCCCAGGGCUUGAAUCUGCUCUGCUGAAGAAGGGGAAGAUUGAUGAGAUCGAUCAGCAUUUCUCCAGUUUUCACAGCUAUAAGUCCCCCCAGUACUGCACGGAGACGUGGUACCAGGUGAGUGUGGACACGAGUCCGGCUGUGACGCCCAGCAGCAUCCAGUCUGACGGUAUACAAGAGGAUGUGCUGAUCACGCCAAUCAUACCGAUUGUGCCGAUCGGGCCAAUCACGCAGUACGUCACCUGCCCCAAUGGACAACAGUCUGUUCAGACCAGCUGCACUCCUAUGCCUUAUGUCCACGGCCCGGCCCCCUACUGUGAGAAAGACACACCCCCUCCAGUCCCUGGCCCCGCCCACCCGGAGCUCAUGUCUGUCCCAGGCAUGGACUAUAACAUGAUUUUAAACCACGCCCCCUACUGUGUGGAAGACACGCCCCCUCC